rnacentral:rRNA from 1 species
GAUGAACGCUGGCGGCGUGCCUAAUACAUGCAAGUAGAACGCUGAAGGAGGAGCUUGCUCUUCUGGAUGAGUUGCGAACGGGUGAGUAACGCGUAGGUAACCUGCCUGGUAGCGGGGGAUAACUAUUGGAAACGAUAGCUAAUACCGCAUGACAACAGUUAUUGCAUGAUAACUGUUUAAAAGGGGCAACUGCUCCACUACCAGAUGGACCUGCGUUGUAUUAGCUAGUUGGUGAGGUAACGGCUCACCAAGGCGACGAUACAUAGCCGACCUGAGAGGGUGAUCGGCCACACUGGGACUGAGACACGGCCCAGACUCCUACGGGAGGCAGCAGGAGGGAAUCUUCGGCAAUGGACGGAAGGCUGAACGAGCAACGCCGCGUGAGUGAAGGAGGUUUUCGGAUCGUAAAGCUCUGUUGUAAGAGAAGAACGAGUGUGAGAGUGGAAAGUGCACACUGUGACGGUAUCUUACCAGAAAGGGACGGCUAACUACGUG